GGGGGCGAACCCGGUGAACUGAAACAUCUAAGUAGCCGGAGGAGGAGAAAACAAGAGUGAUUCCGGGAGUAGCGGCGAGCGAAACCGGAGAAGCCCAAACCACGUUCGUUUCGGCGAACGUGGGGUUGUAGGACCGCGAUAUCGCGUACAUCGCCGACCGGAACCCCUUGGAAAGGGGGGCCGCAGACGGUGACAGCCCGGUACGGGAAGGCGAUGUGCGGGUAGCGGUAUCCUGAGUAGCGCGGGGCACGUGGAACCCUGUGCGAA
rnacentral:rRNA from 11 species